CCUACGGGUGGCUGCAGUGGGGAAUCUUGCGCAAUGGCCGAAAGGCUGACGCAGCGACGCCGCGUGGGGGAUGAAGGCCUUCGGGUUGUAAACCCCUGUUGCCCGGGACGAACAGCUGGCUUCGGCCAGCCUGACGGUACCGGGUGAGGAAGCACCGGCUAACUCUGUGCCAGCAGCCGCGGUAAUACAGAGGGUGCGAGCGUUGUCCGGAAUCACUGGGCGUAAAGGGCGCGUAGGCGGCCGCUUAAGCGUGUCGUGAAAGCGCGGGGCUCAAC
rnacentral:rRNA from 1 species